GUCUACAAAAUUAUGCAAUAAAUGAGAUUCUCAGCAACCAAAAUGCUGUACACAACAGUACCCAUUUAAUUCGUAAACCAUUCUUGAUAUAUAAAACUUUACAUCAUAAUUCUUCUAAAUGACACAAGCAAACACGAAAGCACAAACAUGCAUAUAACAUAAACAAUGAAUGGUCCACAAAAUAUGUUUUUCAAAAUAAUUGCUAUACCUUAAAUACAUGCAUGCUGUAAGGCCGACUUUGCAUAAUAAACAUGAGAUUCGGCAUAAGAUACUAACAUAACCUAUGCAUCUCUUAAUCUUAAUGGAGUCUCUUUAUUUGUUCGAACUCAACACUACCGCUUACAAUAUUAAUAAAUAGUCUCCUGAGCCCAACGUUGCGAGGUCAGAUUAUCAGAUAGAACAAGUCCCCAACCAAAUAAACUCUCAUUUUCCAACACCAUGUAGCUGGGUUUGGUUAGAUGUAAGUUCAUUAGUUUUCUUUAAAAAAAAUGUUUAGUUUCAGAAAGUUUUCAUAUAUUAAUUAAUUACUAGGAACUCAAAUGUUGUAGUUAAAAAAUAUAUAUCUUUUUAUUUUAAUUUCUGUAUUUUCUAAACAAGAUGAGUCUCAACAUUGAAUGAGUGACACGCCGCAGCAGCACCAAAACAUAAAAACUCAACAAAUUAAAAGUAAAUUUGACCCUUAAAAUACGUGUCUGAAGCAUGUCUGUGUCCAACACGGCAACACCUCUACAUGCUGAUCACAAUAUGUGCCUAACGCCUAUCCUUCCUAACGACCAUCACCUUAUAACAUCUUUAUUUGGGAACAGAUCCAUCGUGAAAAUUGGGACAGAAGAUGGUCCUCUCCAAAGGCUCUUUAGUGUCAUACAACUUUGGUUUUUUUCCUUCUAAUGACUGGGAUCUUGAUUUAGGCUCCUACCCGUAAAUUGAUGAGUGAGAUUUAUUAAUCAAGAAAGGUGAUGGGUCGAUGGAUUUAGAAAGCUUCCACUUUCUCAAGUACGAAACUUAUGGACUUAGUAACCAAUCUCCAACUCGUUCUCUGACAAUAUAUUUCCUUCUAUUCACACCCCACCUCUUAUUACCUUCACUUGGGCUCACCUUUCUAGUUCUAACUAGCUUCUCAUAGCCUGUUAUUCCUCACUACCUCUUUCAGUGCCUCACUGCCUCCUCUUAUAAACAUGUUUAAUAGAGAGUCUAUCAUAAAUCGAGAAGCUUCAUGCUCAAACAAAGCAUAGAUGCUCCUUGUUAGCUCAUGGUUCGACAAUACACAUUACACAUUACACAUCAUUAAUCCAGACAGCAUUCAAAUUGAAACUACUAUAUCAAGCAAAAGAGGAUAGGAAUAGGAACACUAACCGGAUCAAUUGUACCAUUUGGGAAAACCGAAUAAAACAGAAGUCCAUCACCUUGACGUGGCUUCACUUUCAAACCAAUACAUGUUUGGAAAUUAUAGGUUCCAUCCAUGUUCAAGCCAUUCUGCCAAUCAAACACAGUAAAUACUCCAUUUGACUAAUGUUCUUGGUUGUAAAAAAUGUCAAGAGAAAGGCCACCUCGUUCAUACGGUCCUAUGGUGGUCUACUCUUACCUCAAAUGGAAACAUGGUUUCUCCACCUUCUUCAACAUCAGUCAAGUACAACAAGAAAGAAGCCACCUGAAUUUUUUAAUGCUAAAAUGUCAGGGAAAGUAGUGCAAAAUUCUAUCUCCCCCCUUUUUUGGGAGGGGAUCAAAAUAUUUCUGUAACAGAGCUCUUAUAAAUGAAUGAAAAGAAUUGAAUGUUGAAUGUUUA